CUGGAAAUGAUGGAUAAAUCCUUUUAAUCAGUGAUGAUGAUGAUCUAUAUAGUAUUCGUACUGACUGAUCCAG